UUAAGGGUAGUGUGGGUCAUGUAAAGGUGACCUGCAGACUAACCUGAGCAGGUAAAGCGAUAAACCUGCUUUUUGUAUAACGUAUAAACAUGUGUGUGGGUGAUAAUAGUGGCUAUCGCUGUUUGUGGAUCAGUGAGGAUGGAGGCUGUGAAGCGGUGGAGGGCAGGAUGGGGCUAGCCCACCACUCUGCUGUGCAUCUAUGGGUUCUGCGGUACUGUGAAACCUCUUGUACCCUUCAUCUACCCUUACCUGACUGGUCCAAACAAAAACCUGAUGGUGGAACAGCCAUCGCUGUCAUUUUCAUUGAGGGGUGUGUACAUGAUUAUGAGAGGGUGGUAAAGCCACAGCGACUCCAUCACUGCAGAGGAGCCUCCAACCCCAACCCUGUGUACACCACUGCAGAGGAGUCUCCAAGCCCAACCCUGUGUACACCACUGCAGAGGAGCCUCCAAGCCCAACCCUGUGUACACCACUGCAGAGGAGCCUCCAAGCCCAACCCUGUGUACACCACUGCAGAGGAUCCUCCAAGCCCAACCCUGUGUACACCACUGCAGAGGAGCCUCCAAGCCCAACCCUGUGUACACCACUGCAGAGGAGCCUCCAAGCCCAAACCUGUGUACACCACUGCAGGGGAGCCUCCAAGCCCAACCCUGUGUACAACACUGCAGAGGAGCCUCCAAGCCCAACCCUGUGUACACCACUGCAGAGGAGCCUCCAAGCCCAACCCUGUGUACACCACUGCAGAGGAGCCUCCAAGCCCAACCCUGUGUACACCACUGCAGAGGAGCCUCCAAGCCCAACCCUGUGUACACCACUGCAAGCUUGAACAUGUAGUGGACCAAAAAGAAGAACCCAAAGUAGAAGUGUUUUUAUCUGACCACAGACAAUAAUCUGUCCAAAACUGAGGAGGGCAAGGUGUCUCACCAAACUUUUACUUUAAAUUCUAACGUCAUGGUGCUCUAUAUACUUGCAUUUAUAAACAAAAUAAAAGUUGACACAGACUGGUCAUAGACAUUCAACCUCUAGUUUUGAUUUACAUUUGGUUGAGUUGUCAACUAAAUGUGAAUUCAAACUUAAAUCAACAACAAAUGUCACCAAGUUUAGGUUAAGAGUUGAGUAGAGAAUAAAUAAUUAAAUGCCCUUUUUACAAAUCCAAUAAGUUUUCCAUGUUGAUUCAACAUCAGCAGUGGAGAAGGUGAAAAGCUUCAUGUUCCUCGGCGUACACAUCACUGGCAAUCUGAUAUGAUCCACCCACACAGGCAGUGUGGUGAAGAAGGUGCAACAGCGCCUUUUCAACCUCAGGAGGCUGAAGAAUUUUGGCUUGGCACAGAAGACAUUCAUAAAAUUCUACAGAUACAGCAUUGUGUACAGCGCCACCCAGAAGCUCCUCGACCCGUUUCAGUUUGCCUAUCAGCCCAGCAGAGGAGUUGAUGAUGCCAUUCUUAAUCUCUUCGACAUGGUCUAUAGAGAUCUAGAGGGUGCCAAAUUCCAUGACUUUUCUUCUGCCUUCAACACAAUCCAGCCUUACAUUCUGGCACAGAGAUUCAUUAGGGACUACUCCUUAGAUGGGGGGCUGGUUUUGUGGCUGUUGGACUUCCUGAGCCAGAGGUCACAGUGGGUCAGUUCCCAUCCUGACAGACACCUCGUUAAGUUUGCUGAUGACACUGCCUUGAUCAGCCUGUUGCAUGAUGAUGAGGAACACCAUGGCCCGGUCCUAAAUGAGAGUUGAGAUAAAUGAGAGUUGUGUGACCAAUCACACUUGGUCCUCAAUACCAACAAGACCAAAGUGAUGUGCAUAGACUUCAGGAAGUGUACAACACCUACCUCUGCAACAUCUAUCAGAGGUCAGAACAUAGAGAUUGUAGAGGAAUACAAAUAUCUGGGUGUCGUCUUGGACAAUAAGCUUCAGUAGAGUAAAUGUACAGACCUGAUCUACAACAGGAGUCAGCAGAGACUGUACUUUCUCAAAAAGCUGGGAUUUUUUCAUGUUGACUGGACUAUGAGAUUAUUUAAACUUUUUGUAUUGUUUGUUGGUUUGGCAAUGCCACUGUCAGCCAGAGAAAUAUGCUGAGAACGAUUAUCACCACAGCAAGCAAGGUACUUGGAGUCAAAUAGACAGGUCUGGAUGAGAUCUUUAAGUUCAGGGCCCUCUGCACAAAAUCAUUUUAGAACAAGCCACCCCCUGUACCCGGACUUUAAACUAAUCCCCUCUGGGUGCAGGAAUAGGGCACCCCUCGGCAGGAAAAACAGAACUAGACAAUCAUUUGUGAUAUCCCUCCUAAAUAGCUCGGCUAAUGUUCCUAUCGACCCAGUAAGGCCAGCAGGCUAGCCUCUUUUUAUUGGUAUGUAACUGUUAUGAAAGUUAUAUUGUCAAUUUGUUUUGUAUUUAAACGCCACUUUAAACAUGCACAUGACAUUGCAACAAAACAGAUCACCAGGGAAACACUUCCUGUCCUCCAGGACAUCUACAGCACUGGGUGUCACAGGAAGGCCAAGAAGAUUAUGAAGGACCUCAGCCACAGCUUGAUCACCCGCUACCAUCCAGAAGGCGAGGUCAGUGGAGGUGGAUCAAAGCUGGGACCAAGAGACUGAAGAACAGCUUCUAUCUCAAUGCCACCAGCCUGCCUCCGCUCGGUACCCUGCCCUGAACUUUAGUCACUGUCACUAGCCGGCUACCACCCGGUACACAACCCUGCACCUUAGAGGGUGCUGCCCUAUGUACAUAGCCAUGGGACAUUGGUUACUUUAAUACAGUUUAUGUAUAUACUGUAUUCUAGUCAAGGCCUACCCUAUUAACUAUUGCUGUAAAUAUACUAUUCUAUCCUAAGUAUUCUACAGAAAUACUACAUAGUAUAUACAUAUGAUGUCCAUAAUGUCUAUAUAUCCCAUCAUCUAUAUUUAUAUUUAUACUACGGACUCCGACAUUGGAGCUAGGAACACAAGAAUUUCGCUACACCCGCAAUAGCAUAUGCUAAAUAAACUCAGCAAAAAAAAGAAACGGCCCUUUUUCAGGACCCUGUCUUUUAAAGAUAAUUCGAAAAAAUCCAAAUAACUUCACAGAAAAGGGGUGUAAAGGGUUUAAUGAUCCUCACUAAUCGUGGAACUGUGAUGACAGCAGUCCAGUCAUCGUGAACCAUGCGCCAGGCUCCAGGUUGAAACUGUUACGAAUGGUCUGCGUUCCAUAAUGAUUCAAAUAGGCUAGUCCCAAAUUAUUGCUGGUAAUACGUUAGCCUAAUAUGAUCCGCUAUUGCGAGCGAUCCUCAGGAACAGUCACACGAAUGUGACAGAUGAAAGGUAAACUAAUGAUGCGAUGGAAUGAUGCAAAAUGUACAGAAACUAACACUAACGUGAGUUCAAAAUGUAUUGGUAUAACUGACGAUGGCUACUGAUAGUGGCUAGUAUUUAACACCAUACAAAUUGGGAAAAGAAAACAGUGAAAAAUCCAGGCAUAUAAUUAAAACAUUGUAGAAAUCAUAAACUUGGUAGGUUUGGCACUAUGCUGUCAUUUGUGCAUGGCUACAGAAGUCUAUAGUUUUGGGUCUCCGAAAUUCAUCCCCGAAGAUUAUAAAGCCAGCAUUUCAUAAACCUCACUGUGGGUUAAAUUGAUAUGCUUCAGUUUUCUGCCAUAUGACUGGUUUUACAUUCAUUUUGUCUCCAGCAAUCAUAGGGUAAAAUACAUUUACAAUCCCCUUAUCCACACAAAUUCAUCAUUUACCUAGCGCUUAUCAAUUUGUAAGUUACAGUGCACGGAGAAUGGUGCUAUUUCUAUUGGAAAAAAUAAAGUAGGCCUAGAUGUUGCUCCACUUAGAACAGAUAGGUUGCUCGACAUUAUUCAUAGUUUCGUCACGCAUAAAGGUGGUGGAAUUGAGAGAGAAUUAAACCAAGGUCAGAAUACAGCACAUCUGUCGACACCUCUCUACCAAACCUACAUUUCUGUAAUCUCCACCCUGAACCCUGAUAGCUGGCUGAAACAUGUGGAGCAGAGAGAAAAGUUCCAUUAGCGUGCGUGUAACUUGGGUCUGAAUCGGCCCCAUGGUGUUGAUCUGUUUAUUCUAUUAAUUUUAGAUUGUGGGAUAUAACUGGAUCUAAAAAAAAAAAAUGGCCUGGGACGUGGACCCCUUUUUAGAUCUGAAACGUUACAAAAUUACCCUUUAAUAUUUGGUAGAGGGAAAAACAUGCCCCCUUUCCUUCCAGGUUCCAAAUUGCUACGGAGAUCUCCACGGAGAGAUAUGCACUGAUCUUCGGCGCAAACAACUUUGGGGCUUUGGUCCUUCAGACUAUCAUCACAGCCGUUGUGGUGGAUGGCAGAGGGCUCGGCUUGGGCAUCAUCCCACAGUUCACCAUUUAUGGAAGCUACUUCUCAGCCAUCCCUGUCAUUUUCUUUCUGAGGGGUGUGUAUAUGAUUAUGAGAGGGUGGCAAAGCAACAGACACUCCACCACUGCAGAGGAGCCUCCAAGUCUGAAAGACAGUGACACUGGCCCUGAACAAAGACUCUGACUGGGCCAUGUUCUGUAGGGGAGAAAACCUUUUGAAAACGGGGAGUUUCUACCAGAGUGUGUCCAAAAAGAAAGCUCAUUUUUGUUUUCGUUUGCACCAUUUUUUGGUAUAUUGUGCCCUACUGAAUUAAAGACACUGAUGACAG